GGUUAAGCGACUAAGCGUACACGGUGGAUGCCCUGGCAGUCAGAGGCGAUGAAGGGCGUGCUAAUCUGCGAUAAGCGCCGGUAAGGUGAUAUGAACCGUUAUAACCGGCGAUACCCGAAUGGGGAAACCCAGUGUGAUUCGUCACACUAUCAUUAACUGAAUCCAUAGGUUAAUGAGGCGAACCGGGGGAACUGAAACAUCUAAGUACCCCGAGGAAAAGAAAUCAACCGAGAUUCCCCCAGUAGCGGCGAGCGAACGGGGAGGAGCCCAGAGCCUGAAUCAGCAUGUGUGUUAGUGGAAGCGUCUGGAAAGGCGCGCGAUACAGGGUGACAGCCCCGUACACAAAAGCGCAUGUGCUGUGAGCUCGAUGAGUAGGGCGGGACACGUGGUAUCCUGUCUGAAUAUGGGGGGACCAUCCUCCAAGGCUAAAUACUCCUGACUGACCGAUAGUGAACCAGUACCGUGAGGGAAAGGCGAAAAGAACCCCGGCGAGGGGAGUGAAAAAGAACCUGAAACCGUGUACGUACAAGCAGUGGGAGCCCCACCACUAAGCCAGUGGUGAACUCCACAUACGCAUCCUUUGCUGAGGAUACGGUUAACGGAGCGCAAGCGACGUUCAACCUCAAAAGAAGCAGAGGGGGCUUAGUGGUGGGGUGACUGCGUACCUUUUGUAUAAUGGGUCAGCGACUUAUAUUCUGUAGCAAGGUUAACCGUAUAGGGGAGCCGGAGGGAAACCGAGUCUUAAUUGGGCGUUAAGUUGCAGGGUAUAGACCCGAAACCCGGUGAUCUAGCCAUGGGCAGGUUGAAGGUUGGGUAACACUAACUGGAGGACCGAACCGACUAAUGUUGAAAAAUUAGCGGAUGACCUGUGGCUGGGGGUGAAAGGCCAAUCAAACCGGGAGAUAGCUGGUUCUCCCCGAAAGCUAUUUAGGUAGCGCCUCGUGAAUUCAUCUCCGGGGGUAGAGCACUGUUUCGGCUAGGGGGCCAUCCCGGCUUACCAACCCGAUGCAAACUGCGAAUACCGGAGAAUGUUAUCACGGGAGACACACGGCGGGUGCUAACGUCCGUCGUGAAGAGGGAAACAACCCAGACCGCCAGCUAAGGUCCCAAAGUCAUGGUUAAGUGGGAAACGAUGUGGGAAGGCCCAGACAGCCAGGAUGUUGGCUUAGAAGCAGCCAUCAUUUAAAGAAAGCGUAAUAGCUCACUGGUCGAGUCGGCCUGCGCGGAAGAUGUAACGGGGCUAAACCAUGCACCGAAGCUGCGGCAGCGACACUCAGGUGUUGUUGGGUAGGGGAGCGUUCUGUAAGCCUGCGAAGGUGGCCUGUGAGGGUUGCUGGAGGUAUCAGAAGUGCGAAUGCUGACAUAAGUAACGAUAAAGCGGGUGAAAAGCCCGCUCGCCGGAAGACCAAGGGUUCCUGUCCAACGUUAAUCGGGGCAGGGUGAGUCGACCCCUAAGGCGAGGCCGAAAGGCGUAGUCGAUGGGAAACGGGUUAAUAUUCCCGUACUUGGUGUUACUGCGAAGGGGGGACGGAGAAGGCUAUGUUGGCCGGGCGACGGUUGUCCCGGUUUAAGCGUGUAGGUGUGUGUUCCAGGUAAAUCCGGUUCACUUUAACACUGAGGCGUGACGACGAGGCACUACGGUGCUGAAGCAACAAAUGCCCUGCUUCCAGGAAAAGCCUCUAAGCAUCAGGUAACAUCAAAUCGUACCCCAAACCGACACAGGUGGUCAGGUAGAGAAUACCAAGGCGCUUGAGAGAACUCGGGUGAAGGAACUAGGCAAAAUGGUGCCGUAACUUCGGGAGAAGGCACGCUGACACGUAGGUGAAGUGAUUUACUCAUGGAGCUGAAGUCAGUCGAAGAUACCAGCUGGCUGCAACUGUUUAUUAAAAACACAGCACUGUGCAAACACGAAAGUGGACGUAUACGGUGUGACGCCUGCCCGGUGCCGGAAGGUUAAUUGAUGGGGUCAGCGCAAGCGAAGCUCCUGAUCGAAGCCCCGGUAAACGGCGGCCGUAACUAUAACGGUCCUAAGGUAGCGAAAUUCCUUGUCGGGUAAGUUCCGACCUGCACGAAUGGCGUAAUGAUGGCCAGGCUGUCUCCACCCGAGACUCAGUGAAAUUGAACUCGCUGUGAAGAUGCAGUGUACCCGCGGCAAGACGGAAAGACCCCGUGAACCUUUACUAUAGCUUGACACUGAACAUUGAGCCUUGAUGUGUAGGAUAGGUGGGAGGCUUUGAAGUGUGGACGCCAGUCUGCAUGGAGCCGACCUUGAAAUACCACCCUUUAAUGUUUGAUGUUCUAACGUGGACCCGUGAUCCGGGUUGCGGACAGUGUCUGGUGGGUAGUUUGACUGGGGCGGUCUCCUCCUAAAGAGUAACGGAGGAGCACGAAGGUUGGCUAAUCCUGGUCGGACAUCAGGAGGUUAGUGCAAUGGCAUAAGCCAGCUUGACUGCGAGCGUGACGGCGCGAGCAGGUGCGAAAGCAGGUCAUAGUGAUCCGGUGGUUCUGAAUGGAAGGGCCAUCGCUCAACGGAUAAAAGGUACUCCGGGGAUAACAGGCUGAUACCGCCCAAGAGUUCAUAUCGACGGCGGUGUUUGGCACCUCGAUGUCGGCUCAUCACAUCCUGGGGCUGAAGUAGGUCCCAAGGGUAUGGCUGUUCGCCAUUUAAAGUGGUACGCGAGCUGGGUUUAGAACGUCGUGAGACAGUUCGGUCCCUAUCUGCCGUGGGCGCUGGAGAACUGAGGGGGGCUGCUCCUAGUACGAGAGGACCGGAGUGGACGCAUCACUGGUGUUCGGGUUGUCAUGCCAAUGGCACUGCCCGGUAGCUAAAUGCGGAAGAGAUAAGUGCUGAAAGCAUCUAAGCACGAAACUUGCCCCGAGAUGAGUUCUCCCUGAGACUUUAAGUCUCCUGAAGGAACGUUGAAGACGACGACGUUGAUAGGCCGGGUGUGUAAGCGCAGCGAUGCGUUGAGCUAACCGGUACUAAUGAACCGUGAGGCUUAACCUU
rnacentral:rRNA from 2 species